GGCAGUCGCCAUAGUGAGUCUCCAUGCUUCUCCUCUCUGAGAUGGACGCAGGUUAAGAUCUCUCCUGGGAGCAAUAGAAGAAAGCUGAUCUGAAGGUGGCAAGGAAGAACACAGGCCCUACAAUCUGUGAUUUCUUAACUGCCCUGAUCGAGACUUGUAGGCAGAGGGUUCUUUUGACAGUUUUACCCUUAGCAGACAUGGUUGUUCACAUCUGUAUUCGGACUGUCUAGAAGACUGAGGAAGAAGAAUUCUGUGUUAAUUAUCAAAAAUAACAAAACAAAGGAUGGAAGCUACAUAUUCAAAGAUAGACUAAACACCGCAGAUAUGGACACAAUAUCCAUUACUCUCAUCCUAAAGAAGAAGAAAUAGGAUUACCAUUCAUCUGUGUAGAAUGACCUGCAAUAUCUAUAAUAUCUCCAUCAUCUCAUGAUGGUCUUGAUGUUUCUGUCAUACUCAACUGAGUGAAAACUCUCUGAUCUAAUCAUAAACUUCAACUAAUGGUAAGUUAUUUCUUCUUUUGAUUCUCCCCUACACAUGGAUUUCGAGAGAACUGGGAAAUCAUUUAUUAGAAUGUUAUAACAUUUUUGCAUUGAUAUGUAAGAGUGGAGAGUUAAGUGUACUGAUAUCCCCAAUAACCCAGAGAUCUGGGAGUCUUUCUCAUUGCCCUACGUUAACUGAUAUUUAAGAAGCAUUAUUCAUUCAUGUGUUUAGCAAGUGCACUUGGGGCACUUCAUUAAUUUUCGGUAUUUUGGGAGACUUGUAAUUACAUAGUUGAAUAUGGAGGUGAGUGUAACAAAAAAGAAGAACUGAAUGUAAAUUAUGAUGUCUCCAUUUUCACUGUGAGUGAGUAAAGUGUAAAUGGCCUUUGCUUUCUUUGGUAUUUCUGUGAUGUAGCUAAAGGAAGAAUACAAACACCCUAUACUCUAACUUUCUGAAUUUUUCACAAUGGAUGAACAAUUAAAGCCUCACCUUCAUAACCUGACAGAGAAAAAAAUCUCUUUAUCAUGACAUGCAUAAACAAUGAAAUUCAUACUCCUGAUCACUGGCCAUUAGGGGGCCACUAUGUAAGUCUCCACAGAUCCUCAUGUCCCUGGAUCCAUGGAAAUGAGUUUCUAUUACCUGUGGAAAAUGGCAUGAAGUAGUCACUUUUCUUAAAGUUUCCAUUCUUAUCUAGAAAGUGGCCAGGGUCAAAAAUCUCUGGGUUGGGGAAUUCCUUGCUGUCAUUCAGCACUGAGGAGAGUGAUGUUAUUACCGUUGUUCCCUACAACAACACACAGAAACAAACAAAGUUAAAAAGAAAGCAUAGAGCUAAGACAGAUUAGGAAAAUGUCCAGAUUCACAUUCUUCUCCAUAGUUGGGAUUAAGUACAAAGAACGGCAGGGACAUUUCAACAGGCAGAGCAGUUGAGGAGCAGGGAGAAGCAUGAGGUCAGGCACAGUGUUGUAGCUGAUAUGACUUCAAUGACAUUUCACAUGAGUACUUGGACUAAAACUUCUGUGUCUCUUCUUCCUUUCCUUUAGACUAUACUCAUGCUUCUCUGAGCACUGACUGCUCUAGUUCAUCGCAUAUGUCUACAUACCCUCAUGUGAAUCAGGUUCCAAGUAGAAAAAUUCAUUGAGUGCUUUGAACAGAACAGGGGAACAUUCAUAACGUACAAUAAGGAAGAUGGAAAGACAAAGGCCACUAUUUUUUUCUCAUUUAUAAAAUCUAUCUAUCUUUGUACUUAUAUUAUAAGAAAGAAAAUAUAGGGCUAUGUGCCAGAGAAGACGUGUUCAGUCUUGCAUAUAGUCUAUCUUUAUUAAUAAACAAACAAACAUAGAAAUGCACAUAUGUAUAUGUGUCAGAAAUGCAGGAUGAGGACUCUUUGGAAGAAAAAAAGAAGAAAUGGAAAUGGGAGAAGAGGGAGACAAUAAAAUAAAGCAAAGCAUGAUGAAGGUAAGAUGAUCUGGUGACAGUUAAAUCAAUAAAACAUCUGAAGUCAAAUGGAAAUUGCUGGCAACUGGUGCAGGCAAGUUCUCUUUAACUAGUACACAAACAAAUCUCAUAUUAUUUCAAAGUUUCUAGGAAUGUGGUCUACAAAGCAUUUGCAAGGCUGCUACAUAUAUUAGAAAGCAAUUCAUCUAAAUAUGUUUAAAAUUUUAAAACUAAAAAUACUAUUUCUGAUAUGUGUAAAUUAUGUGAAAAUUAAGUUCUAGUGUCAAUAGGCAUUGAACAUAGUAUAUUCAUAAUCAUUUGUUUACAUGGUGCCUGUGACUGCUUCUCUGCUGCAAUGAGAGUUUCUGAAGGAGCAGCACAUCUUCUUGGCCUAGAAAAGCUGAAAUCUGUGAGAACAAUUAUGGCAAAGAUCAUCGAUUCCCUCUUAUCCUAUUUGUUUUGAUGAGAUCACUGGCUCUAUUCUCACCUAAGAAAUCAUUUAUCCUAUUUUUCAGAAUGUAGAAUAAGCUAUGAAACAACCAAGUUGUUUCAUAAAGUACAAGAAUAGAAUAUUCUCCUAGACUAGAUUCCAAAGAAACCUGUCGUGCCAUGAACCUGCAGGAGAGGAAUGACGAAGUAUAAGUUUAGCUGAUUCAACACUCACCUCUAACUAGGCUUUAAGCCCAAGGAAGAUAUGAGGAGAUAUGCAGUUACUAUCUUGCCCUUUAUUAUACCUAUUUAGUCGGCUCUAAGUAUAAAAACAUAACCAAAUGCUUAUAUUAACCACAGACAUCAGCAAUCUUACCUUGAGACUGUCCCUUAGCCAAACAUACAAACUAACCCAUAUACUAAGACUGUUAUUAUACAGAUAACCUACUGCCAUCUGGAAAAGUAAGUUCUAUCAUCUACACAUGAUGUUAGUAACUACAAACUUAAUAUCGUUUGCCCCACACCUCCACCUCCCCCGAAAAUAAAAGAAUCCCAGGAGAGAGCAAUGUUAUCCUUUCUGAAUGAAAUUAUUACUAUAAAAAUUCUGCAUUUUUCAUCUGUAGUUUGUGGUGUCUUCAAAACAGCACUAAGUGGCCACAGAAAUGAAAUAAGUCAUAAUGACAUCAGGGAACAAUUUAAACUCAUUUUUAAGGUGAAAGUUU